ACUAGGCUCGAUGUAAUCGACUUAAUCCCUUUCACCAAAAUGCGAGGCUUUGUGCUUCCAGUUGAAGAGAAUUUACUAAAGCUUGCUAUAUUCAAUAA